UACGUAGGUGGCAAGCGUUGUCCGGAUUUACUGGGCGUAAAGAGCGCGCAGGCGGUUGGAUAAGUCGGAUGUGAAAGCCCCCGGCUCAACUGGGGAGGGUCAUUCGAUACUGUCCGACUCGAAGGCAGGAGAGGGAAGCGGAAUUCCCGGUGUAGUGGUGAAAUGCGUAGAUAUCGGGAGGAACACCAGUGGCGAAGGCGGCUUUCUGGCCUGUUCUUGACGCUGAGGCGCGAAAGCCAGGGGAGCAAACGGG
rnacentral:rRNA from 1 species